CCUACGGGAGGCUGCAGUGGGGAAUAUUGGGCAAUGGGCGCAAGCCUGACCCAGCAACGCCGCGUGAAGGAAGAAGGCUUUCGUGUUGUAAACUUCUUUUCUGGGGGACGAACUAAUGACGGUACCCCCGGAAUAAGCCACGGCUAACUACGUGCCAGCAGCCGCGGUAAUACGUAGGUGGCAGGCGUUAUCCGGAUUUAUUGGGUGUAAAGGGCGUGUAGGCGGGAAUGCAAGUCAGAUGUGAAAACUAUGGGCUCAACCCAUAGCCUGCAUUUGAAACUGUAUUUCUUGAGUGCUGGAGAUGCAAUCGGAAUUCCGUGUGUAGCGGUGAAAUGCGUAGAUAUACGGAGGAACACCAGUGGCGAAGGCGGAUUGCUGGACAGUAACUGACGCUGAGGCGCGAAAGCGUGGGGAGCAAACAGGAUUAGAUACCCCUGUAGUC
rnacentral:rRNA from 1 species